rnacentral:rRNA from 1 species
UACGUAGGGGGCGAGCGUUGUCCGGAUUUAUUGGGCGUAAAGAGCGUGUAGGCGGCCAGGUAGGUCUGCUGUGAAAACUCGAGGCUCAACCUCGAGACGUCGGCGGAAACCAUCUGGCUAGAGGACGGUAGAGGCGUGUGGAAUUCCGGGUGUAGUGGUGAAAUGCGUAGAGAUCCGGAGGAACACCAGUGGCGAAGGCGACACGCUGGGCCGUACCUGACACUGAUGCGCGACAGCAUGGGGAGCAAACAGG